CACAAGAGAGAAUCCCAGCCAGUGCUCUUAGAUCGAUAGGCUUAUCAAAAAAAGUAGGAGAUUGAUUGGCGGACGGGUUUCAUUGAAUAGCUAAAGGCAACUCUAUCCAAGCAAAGUUCAAGGCUGCCAGGAGCAAGAAAAGAAGGGGAUGCAGACGGGAAGGUGAGAGUAACAUCAUACAUAUUGUCAUUCCAAAUAGGGCAUUGAGGAUGGAAAGGCUACACAUCGUACGUGUCAAAAGAAAAGAUAGUAAAGUAAAGGCCCUUGCCCAACUCAGUCUCAGUCCAACCCCGGACAAGAAUCUAAUAAAGGGGUCAAUAAAGGAUGAAACAAGGGCGAUAGCCAGCCCACUUUCCCGUUCGAAGAUUAUGCCAAGGAAAGGUCUUCGAAAAGACCUUUCUCCUCCAAGGACUUCCUAACGCUUCCCUUUCUUUUUUAAGGGUAUAAAAAACAAGAAAGUAUCGCUCAAGGAAAAACAGACAGCUCAGCUACAUCACCUCUUGCUUUGUCGCUACAGUUGGGAUUACUGAGAACAGGAAUGCUAUAGAAACUAAAAGGAAAACGAAGCAACUCUUUUCUCCAGUACUAUAGUCGGGUUCCGGGCACUAGCUCAGCAACAACAAGGUGCGGCAGCUAACUCCCGAAAAGAACAACCUUUGUGUUAGGCGAGGGNNN
rnacentral:lncRNA from 1 species